rnacentral:misc_RNA from 1 species
UUUUGACAUUAUGAUUAUAGCAUGACAAUAUGAACAAUUUCAUGUAAGUAAUUAGACUGCUAUGACAUUGGCUGAAUUUAAACCAUUGAAUUCUGAUCAUGUAAAAAAUAAUUACCGAUUAUCUUAUUCAAUAUAUGAAAUUUAAUUAAAUAAAAUCCUAAGCCUUAAUUUUCUUGGUUUGAAUUUAUCCAACAUGAUCUAUUUAUAAAAUUUGGUUAAGGUCUUGAAAAUUUCAAGUCAUUCACUCUUAUUUACUUCUG